CUGGCUUGUUUUCCCUAAAGAAUGUAUACUACACAGAUGUAAACUCAAGAAAUUCAAGACUUCAUGGUCUCCAUUCCAGAGUGGAAUACAUUCUUGUUUGUGAUGUAAGAAGCUAAAGGCUAUAUUUCUUCUGGAGCUCUUAAAGGCCAUUUGCAGAAGAGUUCCAAAACAAAACCUUAUGAAAAAUAUGAAGGAUAAUGAGACAGAUAAGGCUACUGAGAGAGAGAAGAGAGCUGGUGCUGAAGCUUGUUGCAAUGAAAGGGAAGGGACUGUUCCAGUUAAUUGAGACUACAGAGGUCAAACCAUAACACUCUCCUUUGUGGAGUGCCACAGAGUCCUACUCUAUUAUCCCCCUACUUGACAUCUACAUAUGAAGACCUUGGGAGAUGUUAUCUUUCACAUGGAGUUAUGUAUCAUCAGUAUGCUAACUGUAUAUCUCAGGCCUAAACUGAACAGGAGAUACAGAGAAGUUGCUACCUCAGUGUCUGGAGACUAGUAUGCACAUGCCUGGUGAUACAUGGAAUGAAGACACUGAAGGAUUUGAGCCAUCACUUUAAAGUUGAUACUGGGCUUUAUUUUUCC